UCAUCAUGCCCCUUAUGAUUUGGGCUACACACGUGCUACAAUGGACAAUACAAAGGGCAUGCGAAACCGCGAGUCAAGCAAAUCCCAUAAAGUUGUUCUCAGUUCGGAUUGUAGUCUGCAACUCGACUACAUGAAGCUGGAAUCGCUAGUAAUCGUCAGAUCAGCAUGCUUCGGUGAAUACGUUCCCGGGUCUUGUACACACCGCCCGUCACACCACGAGAGUUUGUAACACCCGAAGCCGGUGGAGUAACCAUUUGGAGCUAGCCGUCGAAGGUGGGACAAAUGAUUGGGGUGAAGUCGUAACAAGGUAGCCGUAUCGCAA
rnacentral:rRNA from 1 species